rnacentral:lncRNA from 1 species
CACACAUGGAAUCAACGUUUAUAACCUGGAUCACAACUUCUGAAAAGCAUGAGUUACUCAGGAAAGUGCCAGCAGGGCAGUAAGGGGCCAGCUGCUGCUGAGGCUGAGGUAAAGAGCAGACCCUGCCACCAAGCACAGCUCAGAUGACACCACCAAGGCUCCCUGCCUAACCCAGAAGGAGGCGAUGAAGAAGGCUCAAGGUACAAGAAGGCCAGGCCCAGGUUGAGCUGUUGCCCCGGCUCUGACCUGUCAUGGGGAUUCAUUCUUGAAUUGCUUCUUCCUAGAUCUGGUUCACACCUAACCUGAGAACCCUCUUGCCCUCCUUCCUAGAGGGUAAGCCUCCUCAACCACUUCUUUUCUGAGGGCAGUUUCUGUCGCUGCCCUCCCCAAGCAGAGGCCUCUGGUGACCAUCAGCACGUGCAGUGUGGCGUGAGAGAGUGUAUGAAGAAGGCAGAAUGGUUUACCUAUAAAUCACAAUGGGUUUUGUGUCCUGAAUGAUUGCUCUGGCCAGUCACUAAAGAGUUAGGCCACACUGAACUAUUAACGUGAUCUUCAUCUUUACCUGUUGGGGAGUUUGGGUGAUUUUAAUCUACAAUGUUGGUUUUAUUUUUACUGACUGUGAAGCCUCACAGCCCUUUCCCAAUUUUUCGCUAAAUAUUGG